rnacentral:rRNA from 1 species
UAACCUGCCCAANAGAUCGGGAUAACACCUGGAAACAGAUGCUAAUACCGGAUAACAACAGAUGAUGCCUAUCAACUGUUUAAAAGAUGGUUCUGCUAUCACUCUUGGAUGGACCUGCGGUGCAUUAGCUAGUUGGUAGGGUAACGGCCUACCAAGGCGAUGAUGCAUAGCCGAGUUGAGAGACUGAUCGGCCACAUUGGGACUGAGACACGGCCCAAACUCCUACGGGAGGCAGCAGUU